rnacentral:rRNA from 1 species
UACGGGGGGGGCAAGCGUUGUUCGGAAUUACUGGGCGUAAAGGGCUCGUAGGUGGCCAACUAAGUCAAACGUGAAAUCCCUCGGCUUAACCGGGGAACUGCGUCUGAUACUGGAUGGCUUGAGUUUGGGAGAGGGAUGCGGAAUUCCAGGUGUAGCGGUGAAAUGCGUAGAUAUCUGGAGGAACACCGGUGGCGAAGGCGGCAUCCUGGACCGACACUGACGCUGAGGCGCGAAAGCUAGGGUAGCAAACGGG